rnacentral:rRNA from 1 species
CCUACGGGUGGCUGCAGUGGGGAAUAUUGCGCAAUGGGCGAAAGCCUGACGCAGCGACGCCGCGUGAGGGAUGAAGGUCUUCGGAUCGUAAACCUCUGUCAGCAGGGAAGAACGGUCACUGUGCUAAUCAGCAGUGAAUUGACGGUACCUGCAAAGGAAGCACCGGCUAACUCCGUGCCAGCAGCCGCGGUAAUACGGAGGGUGCGAGCGUUAAUCGGAAUUACUGGGCGUAAAGCGCUCGUAGGCGGUAUGUCAAGUCAAGUGUGAAAUCCCCGCGCUCAACGUGGGAACUGCCUUUGAAACUGGCAAACUGGAGUGUGUGAGAGGAUAGUGGAAUUCCAGGUGUAGGAGUGAAAUGCGUAGAGAUCUGGAGGAACAUCAGUGGCGAAGGCGACUAUCUGGCACAUAACUGACGCUGAGGAGCGAAAGCGUGGGUAGCAAACAGGAUUAGAUACCCGAGUAGUC